CAAACCUGCAGAGAAUCUGCCGCUCACUUUCCUAUUAACAGAAUAGUGAAAUGUUUUCAAUUGGUGGGAAAAAGAUCCUGAUUUCAAGAAAGAAUAUCCUAUUGUUUCUUUGUGAUGGCAGUCAUAUGCUUACGAAAUAAUAGGGGAUAUUCUCCUGGGAAUUUAUAGAGAAGUCAUUCUCCCUUACAAAAGGGGCAUGCUUGAGCGAAGUGUACACACUUGCCACCAUGUUUCCCUCCUGUCAUAAAUGUGACAAGAGUAAUAUAGCUGAAGCAGCCAUCUUGUGACCACAAGCAACGGACUAGUAGGGGAAGAGUCGACACACUGAAGAGAAGAAAGCAAAAAGAAGAAAGAGAAAAGUGGAUUCUCAACUAGAAGCAAAAACAUCCACUGAAGUUUGUGAGAGUGCAAUAGGCAGUGCCACAGAUCUUUCUGAGGAAGUACUACCAUAUGACUUCACCUUCUCAGGCUGAGGUAUCAGCUUGACUGUCACUCCACAGAUCAAGACUAGAGGUAAAUGUAAACACUAUACAGGUGGGAUGAGAAACAGCUGUUCAGCUGCCUGGCUAGAAGAACAGGCCCAGUUCUUUGCUACAGGAUGGACAUGGAAAAGUUCAGGCAUUUGAAGUUACUGGCGUCAGCCACAUGAGAUUGAUGACGGGAUUGGCUUCUACAAGAGGUCCAUGUGGUUCUCAUUUCUGAAAACAGAUGUUUGGAAACCAAUGUUUUCAAAGAUAAUAUGAAACUACACCAAUAUGCUGCACUAUGGAGAAAAACUAACCUUGACAGAAGAAAAAAGAUUUUCUUGAGGCAGAAGAUGAAGGACUAUUGGUCGGGACAUUCACAGAAGUCUGUUCUGUAAGUUGGGUUAUAUGGAAGCAGAGAUGCUAGGUCAACCCAUGUUGUGCCCUCCCUCUUUUGGUAAGCAAAACACUGAUGCUUAUGACAUCUUCCUUUUCUUUGGUGGUGGCCUUGAAAAUUGUUAUUCCUUCCAGAAAGGGCUGGAUGUCACUCGCUUAUGAAUUUGAAUCCUUCUCUUUUUGCCAAAUGAUAGAACUGAGCUUGCUCCAUGAGCUUCAUGUGUGUAAACAUUAGUGGGGAUCCAAGUGGCUCUGCAGGUAGAAUAGACACUCAGGUCCCUCCUGCCCAAGUCCAGGGGCUUGCUUCCAUGAAUCCAAUCCUUUAGUUCAUAUCAGUUCAUGGUGUACCAGAAGCCUCAACACAUCUGCAAAUUUUUACAGAACAUGUUUGUGCAAGGAAAUAAAUUAGGUCACCAGGCCUUCAAAGGCUCCUUCCACUUAGGGGUGGUGGAGCCCAUGAAGCUGAGAAUCACCCUUGCCAGCUGUUGGAACUUGAAAUAAUCCUCCAAAAACCUCUUGCUAUUUUAGGAGGGUCAUCCUGGUGGGUCUGUGUAUGCUGUAAAAGAGUGGCUCACUAUUUAACCACCCAUCUCUACUGUGCUGAUUUAGGGACCACGAUCACUUGAGCUUUUCUUGGUGCCUGGGAUCUGUCUUUCUGCACAGGGAUAAUCUAGGCUUAUUUGUGGCUUUUUUCCCCUGCAUUUCCUUUACUUGCUCACUUUCCUUCUUUUCCUCACUAUGUUUCCAUUUGAAAUCAGUUUUCACAUAUGCAUUUCAGUGCAACUCUACCUUCAGGAACUUACUGGAUUACACAGGAAAUUCCUUAUAGUGUGUGACCAUCUGCACUGCAAACAAUUUUCAGGGAAUUGACUAGCUACUAAUACCACUUACAAAAAAUCUAAUAAGGGGUUUAACAUUUUCAUAAGGAAAAUUAAUAUUUAUAUUUUCUGUUUUGGUUGGGUUACAUUUUUACUAUUUUGAGAAAAAAAGUAUUGCAUUUUUAAAAAGUGAACAAAAAAAGCUCUCAUACAAUUGAAUGGUAUUGCCAAAAGAAAUUAAGAAGUCAGAAUUUGAUGAUUCAAUAUAUUAUAAAUAUAUUUUUGACCAUAGUCCUAAACUAUCAUCUGUCAAGUUGUAUUAUUUUGAGUACAUAAGUAUUUUUCAUGUUCUUAUUUGUUUUCUAUAAUGCCUCAUAACAUAUAUAGCUCUGUGAGUCUGUUCUUUCAGAAGAUCUUAUCUCUUGUUAGUUUUCAAGGAUUUCCAGGUUCACAGCAGCUGACUUUUUACUACACAUUUUAUGACUCUAAAACCAUUAGAAGAACAUCAAUGCUUCCCUAAAUUGGUUUUUUGGAGAAAAUGUAAUAUGUUUGAUGAAUUCAAAUAAAAAGAUGGAAACAUAACAGCA